rnacentral:lncRNA from 1 species
CUUAAAGGUGGUAAUCAAUUCCAGAAAGUCCACGGGAUGAGUAUGUUUGAGUACAUGGACAAGGACCCGACACUAAACAAGGCCUUCAAUGAGGCAAUGGUUGGUCGCUCCACCAUAAUCAUGAAGAAAAUCGUGGAGACCUACCAGGGGUUUGAGGGAUUAGCAUCACUUGUGGACGUGGGCGGUGGAACCGGUGCAAACCUUAACAUGAUCAUUUCCAAGUAUCCUUCCAUCAAAGGCAUCAACUUUGAUUUGCCACAUGUUGUGCAAACUGCACCAACUUAUCCGGGUAAUAAUUAAUUAUUUUUUCUCAUCUCUUACUAAGUGUGUUUGAGAGUAUUUAUAAUUAAUAGAAAUGUUUUUUUUUUGUAAAUGUUUUUAUAAGGAUCACCUAUCAAGUCUUUUUCCAAAAAACACUAUACAUGAUUUUUCAACACUAUAAUUAAUUUCUCAAAAUUUUAAAAAUGUUCAUAAAUUUUACUAAAUACCUAAUAUUUUUUUAAAAAUAUUUUUUAGACUAAAAAGAUUUAUUAGAAUCACUAUCAAACGAACUCUAAGGCUCUAUUUGACAACUGUUUUUAAUAACAGUUUCUUGCUUUUUAAAAUAAAAAAAACAGAAAAAUACGUUUGACAAUUAAAAACUGUUUUCUAUUUUUUUUUUUUUAGAUUACUUCUUUUAGCUGUUUUCUAUUUUUUUUAAAGUUGUUUUAAAGAAUAAUUAUAUAAACAUAUAUAAUGAUUAAAAAUAAAGUUAUGAACAUAAAAAUUAUUUUUAAAACAUAUUUAAAAAUAUUAAAAAUAUGUUUAAAACAAUUUUAAUAAGUGAUAAAAAUAUAAAAGAUCCAUAGUAAUUAUGCUUACUGUUUUAAUAACAAUAUAAAGACUCCUUAAUUUCAACCACACACUCAUGGUCUUUUUCGAGGAUGUGGUGCUCAACAUGAUCAAAGAAAGAGAACAUAACCAUAUUGGAAAAAAAUUGAUCAAUACCAUAAUGUGAAGGAUUGAAAUUUGAUUUUUAGUUGUAUAAGUUAGGUACCAAAUUUAUAGGUAAAGAUAUAGAGGCCAAAACAUAGUAAAUUAAUAGAGAGAGAGAGAGAGCAACAAAGUAUGAGUCUAAAAAAAAUGAGGCAAAUGGUUGGAUGAUCAUGAAAUUUGACUUUUUGUUGCAUAAGUUAGAUACCAAUUUUUCUAGGUAAGAAUAUUGAAUAUUAGUUGUCAUUUGGCUUAUAUAUAGAAGAUAGAUAGAUAGAUAGAGAGAGAGAGAGAGUAAUAAAGUAAGAGUCUUAAAAAAGAUGAGGCAAAUCAUUGGAUGAGGAUGAAUCAUGAAAUUUGACUUUUUGUUGCAUAAGUUAGAUAUCAAUUUUUCUAGGUAAGAAUAUUGAAUAUUAGUUGUCAUUUGGCUUAUAUAUAGAAGAUGUAGAGGCCAAAACAUAGUAAAUUAAUAGAGAGAGGAAUAUUAGAGCAACAAAGUAUGAGUCUCAAAAAAGAUGAGGCAUAUCGUUGGAUGAGCGAAGAGGAUGAAUCAUGUAUCCAAGCUAUGCUUUUUGCUAGCUCACAUGUGUUCCCCACGAUCUUGAACACUGCGGUUGAGCUAAAUCUGUUUGAGAUCAUCGCUCGAGCAGGCCCUGGUGCUUAUGUCUCACCCUCUGAGAUCGCAUCCCAGCUUCCCACCCAAAACCCCAAUGCACCUUGUUUUAUGGAUCGGAUGCUGCGUCUAUUUGCUAGUCACGGGCUUCUAUCUUACAGCCUGCGCACACUCGAAGAUGGCAGAGUUGAUAGGCUUUAUGGUCUCACUCCCGUUUGUAAAUUCUUUCUUAGGAGUGAUGAUGGGAGUUGUUUGGCUUCCUUAUCAACCGUGGGUUCCCACCGAGCUUUGAGGGAAGUUUGGUCUGCACUUUCACCCUAAUUUUAUCUUUCAGGCAUAUUUCUUUCAAAUUUGAUCUGCAAAAUAUUUCCUACAGUUUACAAUAGCAUGUUCUGCACAAUAUCUCCAUGAUCUCCUACAGUAUGCUAAUUAUCAUCAUGUAAUGUGUAGGCCAUCCUUGAAGGACGCCAUUCUUGAAGGAGGUGAUCAAUUCCAGAAAGUCCACGGGAUGAGUAUGUUUGAGUACAUGGACAAGGACCCGACACUAAACAAGGCCUUCAAUGAGGCAAUGGUUGGUCGCUCCACCAUAAUCAUGAAGAAAGUCGUGGAGACCUACCAGGGGUUUGAGGGAUUAGCAUCACUUGUGGACGUGGGCGGUGGAACCGGUGCAACCCUUAACAUGAUCAUUUCCAAGUAUCCUUCCAUCAAAGGCAUCAACUUUGAUUUGCCACAUGUUGUGCAAACUGCACCAACUUAUCCG